GUUUUCUUCAAGCGCGAAUGGGAACGGAACUGGCCUUUCCUCGUUGGAUUCGCAGUCACCGGAACCGUAAUCACAAAGUUCUCCCUCGGCCUUACCGAGGAAGACGCAAAGAAUUCGAAGUUCGUUCAGGCGCACAAAAGGUGACUUCUAAAUAGUGAGAUAUGCACUGGCUUUGCACUGUGUUAGAUUUGUCAAGAUUACUUUGUUUGUCUUGAUUCUAUGGAUUGUAAUAACAUAAGAGAGAUGCACUGGAUGAUCUCUCUAAGCCUGUAUCCCAUGUUUUUACAUUCAGUUAUUGUUGUGCCAAAAUCUGGUUGAAGAAAAGCCACAAUGGUUAUAAAUUUCUGAUUCAAGUUAUUUCCUUCAUUAUCA